GCCACUGUAGCUCAGAGGUAGAGCACUUCCUUGGUAAGGAAGAGGUCAGGGGUUCAAUUCCCCUCAGCGGCU
rnacentral:tRNA from 1 species